rnacentral:lncRNA from 1 species
CUCAUAUUCGGAUAACGGAGGUAAUGAUUUGGUGGCAGCAAUAAAUACGUUGUUAACUGCGGACGCUAAUCCUCUUCUUUGUAAGAUGAUUCCAUCAACCUCAACAGAAUUAGAAACGGCUUUUGAAGAAGAGCCAACUAAAUUUUUAUUGCACUCCACCAUUUAAUUGGCUUUGAGUUUUUUAAAUGGCUCACCUGCAUGAGACUCAUAAAAAUUAUGAAUAGAUGGGAUAUAGCAUAGGGUGGAGUGAUGGAGAAAGAGUGAAUAUAAUAAAAAAUAAUAAAACAGUGAAAAAAUGAUGAAAAGCAAUAAAACAAAGGAAAACAUUAAUAUGUAACUACCUUGUAAUGAAUGAAUGAAUGAUUUGUUUGGUGGUAAUCCGAAUCGGCCAGCCACUACUAUUGGAGUUGAUUAAUAUAUUAACUUCCCAGAAUUCCUUGUGAUUCUUAUCGAGUAAUUGUUCGCCAAUAUGUAUGUACAAGAAUGAGUGUUGGACCCUUGAAGUUCUGUUUUAGUCAGUUGUUCUGAUUUGAUGACGGCAUGUGGUUUGAUAUAUAUCGUGCAAGUUUGUCAAGUGUUAAUUAGGUGUCAGUUCGUAUGUAUAAUUAGAACAUGAUGCGCUGUGGACUAACUGAUAACUAAAAAAUGUUUAAAAGUUUUCCAUUAGCCAGAAGUGUGAGUGCAAUGUUGAGUUAUGCUAUAUGCCUGGUGGCAGUCAGGUAUCCGUAUCUGUAUGGUGGCCCUGCUCCUCUGCUCCCUUCACCUCGUGUCUUUUUUCAACGCGAAAUACGUCCGAUUCCCUCGAUCCCUUCGAGCCCUUAUGCCCUGGUGGCCAUGAGGUGACCUGAUCCUCUGCUCCCUUCGCCUCGUGUCUCUUUUAAAAGCGAAAAACGUCCGAUCCCCUCGAUCCCUUCGAUCCCCUCGAUCCCUUAUGCCCUGGUGGCCAUGAGGUGACUCUGAUCCUCUGCUCCCUUCGCCUCGUGUCUUAUUUAAAAGCGAAAAACGUCCGAUCCCCUCGAUCCCUUCGAUCCCCUCGAUCCCUUAUGCCCUGGUGGCCGUGAGGUGACUCUGAUCCUCUGCUCCCUUCGCCUCGUGUCCCUUUGAAAAGCGAAAAACGUCCGAUCCCCUCGAUCCCUUCGAUCCCCUCGAUCCCUUAUGCCCUGGUGGCCAUGAGGUGACUCUGAUCCUCUGCUCCCUUCGCCUCGUGUCUCUUUUAAAAGCGAAAAACGUCCGAUCCCCUCGAUCCCUUCGAUCCCCUCGAUCCCUUAUGCCCUGGUGGCCAUGAGGUGACUCUGAUCCUCUGCUCCCUUCGCCUCGUGUCUCAUUUAAAAGCGAAAAACGUCCGAUCCCCUGGAUCCCUUCGAUCCCUUCGAUCCCCUCGAUCCCUUAUGCCCUGGUGGCCAUGAGGUGACUCUGAUUCUCUGCUCCCUUCGCCUCGUGUCUCUUUUAAAAGCGAAAAACGUCCGCUCCCCUCGAUCCCUUCGAUCCCCUCGAUCCCUUAUGCUCUGGUGGCCGUGAGUUGACUCUGACCCUCUGCUCCCUUCGCCUCGUGUCUCUUUUAAAAGCGAAAAACGUCCGAUCCCCUCGAUUCCUUCGAUCCCUUAUGUCCGGUGGCAGUGAGGAGACUAUGAUCCUCUGCUCCCUUCACCUCGUGUCAACGGGGAAUACGUCCGAUCCCCUUUACUCGAUAGAACGUGCCAUCAGGAAACGCUCUUCUUCGGUUUCGUGCGUUCAAAUGUUCUUGUCAGUCGACCAGCGUUCCCAUUCAUUACGGCCUUCGAUUCUUGUACUCAAGUAAUUCUUAUGUCCAGAACUGUAAC